UCAAGUAAUUAAGUGCAUGUGGUGGAUGCCUUGGCAGUCAGAGGCGAUGAAAGACGUGAUAGCCUGCGAAAGCUCCGGGAGGCGGCAAAUAUCCUUUGAUCCGGAGAUGUCUGAAUGGGGGAACCCACCUACUUUAAGGUAGGUAUUGCAACAUGAAUACAUAGUGUUGCAAGGCGAACGAGGGGAAGUGAAACAUCUCAGUACCCUUAGGAAAAGAAAUCAAUUGAGAUUCCCUCAGUAGCGGCGAGCGAACGGGGAUCAGCCCAUUAAGUUAUGUGUGUUUUAGUGGAACGCUCUGGGAAGUGCGAACGUAGAGGGUGAUAUUCCCGUACACGAAAGGGCACACAUAAUGAUGACGAGUAGGGCGAGGCACGUGAAACCUUGUCUGAAUAUGGGGGGACCAUCCUCCAAGGCUAAAUACUCCUGACUGACCGAUAGUGAACCAGUACCGUGAGGGAAAGGCGAAAAGAACCCCUGUGAGGGGAGUGAAAUAGAUCCUGAAACCGCAUGCAUACAAGCAGUGGGAGCACCUUCGUGGUGUGACUGCGUACCUUUUGUAUAAUGGGUCAGCGACUUAUAUUCAGUAGCGAGGUUAACCGUAUAGGGGAGCCGUAGAGAAAUCGAGUCUUAAUAGGGCGUUUAGUUGCUGGGUAUAGACCCGAAACCAGGCGAUCUAUCCAUGAGCAGGUUGAAGGUUGGGUAACACUAACUGGAGGACCGAACCCACUGUCGUUGAAAAGCCAGGGAUGACUUGUGGAUAGGGUGAAAGGCUAAUCAAGCCUGGUGAUAGCUGGUUCUCCCCGAAAGCUAUUUAGGUAGCGCCUCGGACGAAUACCAUAGGGGGUAGAGCACUGUUUCGGCUAGGGGGUCAUCCCGACUUACCAAACCGAUGCAAACUCCGAAUACCUAUGAGUACUAUCCGGGAGACAGACUGCGGGUGCUAACGUCCGUAGUCAAGAGGAAAACAAUCCAGACCGCCAGCUAAGGCCCCAAAAUCAUAGUUAAGUGGGAAACGAUGUGGGAAGGCAUAGACAGCUAGGAGGUUGGCUUAGAAGCAGCCACCCUUUAAAGAAAGCGUAAUAGCUCACUAGUCGAGUCGGCCUGCGCGGAAGAUGUAACGGGGCUAAAACUAUGUGCCGAAGCUGCGGAUGUAUACUUUGUAUACGUGGUAGGGGAGCGUUCUGUAAGCCGAUGAAGGUGUGUUGAGAAGCAUGCUGGAGGUAUCAGAAGUGCGAAUGCUGACGUGAGUAACGACAAAACGGGUGAAAAACCCGUUCGCCGAAAGACCAAGGGUUCCAGUCCAACGUUAAUCGGGGCUGGGUGAGUCGACCCCUAAGGCGAGGCCGAAAGGCGUAGUCGAUGGGAAAAUGGUUAAUAUUCCAUUACUUCUGUGUAAUGCGAUGAGAGGACGGAGAAGGCUAAAUCAGCCUGGCGUUGGUUGUCCAGGUGAAAGGAUGUAGGCAUGUAUCUUAGGCAAAUCCGGGGUACUCUAUGCUGAGAUCUGAUAGCAAGCUGUACUUGUACAGCGAAGUGGUUGAUGCCAUGCUUCCAGGAAAAGUCUCUAAGCUUCAGUUACACAGGAAUCGUACCCGAAACCGACACAGGUGGUCAGGUCGAGUAGACCAAGGCGCUUGAGAGAACUCUGCUGAAGGAACUAGGCAAAAUGGUACCGUAACUUCGGGAGAAGGUACGCUGUUGUUGGUGAUGGAACUCGCUUCCUGAGCUGACGACAGCCGCAGAAACCAGGCCGCUGCAACUGUUUAUUAAAACAUAGCACUCUGCAAACACGAAAGUGGACGUAUAGGGUGUGAUGCCUGCCCGGUGCUGGAAGGUUAAUUGAUGGGGUUAGCGUAAGCGAAGCUCUUGAUCGAAGCCCCAGUAAACGGCGGCCGUAACUAUAACGGUCCUAAGGUAGCGAAAUUCCUUGUCGGGUAAGUUCCGACCUGCACGAAUGGCAUAAUGAUGGCGGCGCUGUCUCCAGCAGAGGCUCAGUGAAAUCGAAAUCGCUGUGAAGAUGCAGUGUACCCGCGGCUAGACGGAAAGACCCCGUGAACCUUUACUGCAGCUUGACACUGAACUUUGACCUUACUUGUGUAGGAUAGGUGGGAGGCUUUGAAGCUGGAACGCUAGUUCCAGUGGAGCCGUCCUGAAAUACCACCCUGGUAAUGUUGAGGUUCUAACUCUGUCCCGUGAUCCGGGACGAGGACCGUGUCUGGUGGGUAGUUUGACUGGGGCGGUCUCUCCUAAAGAGUAACGGAGGAGUACGAAGGUGCGCUCAGCGUGGUCGGAAAUCACGCGUAGAGUAUAAAGGCAAAAGCGCUUAACUGCGAGACCCACAAGUCGAGCAGGUACGAAAGUAGGUCUUAGUGAUCCGGUGGUUCUGUAUGGAAGGGCCAUCGCUCAACGGAUAAAAGGUACUCUGGGGAUAACAGGCUGAUACCGCCCAAGAGUUCAUAUCGACGGCGGUGUUUGGCACCUCGAUGUCGGCUCAUCUCAUCCUGGGGCUGAAGCAGGUCCCAAGGGUAUGGCUGUUCGCCAUUUAAAGAGGUACGCGAGCUGGGUUUAGAACGUCGUGAGACAGUUCGGUCCCUAUCUACCGUGGGCGCUGGAAAUUUGAGAGGAUCUGCUCCUAGUACGAGAGGACCAGAGUGGACGAACCUCUGGUGUACCGGUUGUGACGCCAGUCGCAUCGCCGGGUAGCUAUGUUCGGAAGGAUAACCGCUGAAAGCAUCUAAGCGGGAAGCCUACCUCAAGAUAAGAUUUCCCUAGGACUUUAUGUCCUCUAAAGAGCCGUUCGAGACUAGGACGUUGAUAGGUUGGAUGUGGAAGCAUAGUGAUAUGUGAAGCUGACCAAUACUAAUUGCUCGUGAGGCUUGACUA
rnacentral:rRNA from 1 species